rnacentral:rRNA from 1 species
GGGGGGGGCAAGCGUUGUUCGGAAUUACUGGGCGUAAAGGGUGCGUAGGCGGUCCGCUAAGUUGGAUGUGAAAACUCUGGGCUUAACCCAGAGCCUGCAUUCAAAACUGACGGGCUAGAGUUCUGGAGGGGGUAGCGGAAUUCCUGGUGUAGCGGUGAAAUGCGUAGAUAUCAGGAGGAACACCGGUGGCGAAGGCGGCUACCUGGACAGAAACUGACGCUGAGGCACGAAAGCUAGGGGAGCAAACAGGAUUAGAUACCCUGGUAGUCCUAGCCCUAAACGAUGGAUACUUGGUGUAGCUGGGAUUGAAUCCAGCUGUGCCGAAGCUAACGCAUUAAGUAUCCCGCCUGGGGAGUACGGUCGCAAGGCUG